AUGGACACACAGUCUUUAAGAUUUAAACUCAGGAAGAAUAAUAUGCAAAGUAUUCUAAGCACAAACCCCAGGAGAUCAAAUGGGAAGAGAGACUUAACUGGGAAGAUGCAUAAGUGUGGUUACUUUUCUCAACAGACCAUUUCCCUAGAAUACCAAAGCUGUUAGGCUCCUGGUUUGAAGAGAGACAGGAAGGAGAUGGUUUAGCAGGCAAGCAUCAAAACAGACAGAAGCCAGAUCUGACAGCGAGAGAAGUGCCGAGAAAUCAGGUCCCAGAGAUUAUGGUGGAUUCAGUCAUAGAUAGCUGGGGCAAUUAUAUUAUGUAAGUAAUUAGCCAGAGCUAAUUACUUAACAACAGACCUUCUGCCUAAGCAUUAACAACAUAGAGUUACAAAGCAGCUGAAACAGCCAAAGUCUUUAGAUGUCAAAAUUGUUCCCAGAGUAGAACAUGCAAAUUGAAACAGCAAACAUAGUUAUGAACAGGUCCCAAAUACCAGAAGUGGAAGAUAUCUGUUUUUCUUAAAGGUAGCAAAGAAAACUAAAGAUCAAGGAAGCUUAGAUAUAAGAUUUACUCUGAAAGGAAUAUGACUUGCACCUCAAAUAUGUUUCUUUUACUUUUUGUAUACUUUCCACUUUUGUUUCUUUUAAUAAAAGUUUUAUAUUUACAUUAAACAUUUGCUUCUCAAAUUUACAGAGCUAACUUCUAGAGCUCAAAGAAUUGUCAUGAGUAGAUUCCAGCUAGGAGCCUGUGCUUCUGAAUCCUAGUGGGGCAGCCCAGCGCUAUCUUAAUGAGGAACCAUAAGAAAUAUUUGGAGUUCUCAUUGUGGCUCAGUGAGUUAAGAACCUGACACAGUGUUCAUGCAGAUGUGGGUUUGAUCCCUGGCCUUGCUCAGUAGAUUAAGGAUCCAGGGUUGCUGCAAGCUAUGUUGUAAUUUGCCAAAUGAAGUUCGGAUCUGGUGUUUCUGUGACUGUGGUGUAGGCCGGCAUCUGCAGCUCUAAUUAGACCCCUAGCCUUGGGAACUUCUAUAUGCCACAAGUGUGGCCAAAAAAAGAAAAGAAAAGAAAAGAAAAAGAAAAGAAAUAUCUGAUGAGUGGGAGAUAGAAAGAUGCAAAAAGUCGCAUUGGUAAUUAAUCCACCCAGUGUGAACCUCACAGCAUAUUACAGAAUUUCCUGUUUUGCUUAGAGUCCUAGGAGCCCUUGGAGAAAGAUUUG
rnacentral:lncRNA from 1 species